ACAAACAAGAUGUGCUUUGACUGCAGACAUUCAGCUUUAAUAUAUGGUUAUUUACAUCCACAUUAGGUGAAAGGUGUAGGAAUUAAAACAGUUUGUAUAUGUGCCUCUCACUUUUUAAGGGACCAAAAGUAUUGGGACAAACCAAAAAUCAUACAUCAAACUUUCACUUUUCAAUAUAUGGUUGCAAAUCCUUUGCUGUCUAGGAGGCAUAGAUACACCAGACGCUGGGUUUCACCCCUAGUGUUGCUCUUCCAGGCCUUUACUGCAACUGUCUUCAGUUCCUGCUUGUUCUUGGUGCAUUUUCUCUUUAGUUUUAUCUUCAGCAAGUGAAAUGCACGCUCAAACGGAUUCAGGUCAGGUGAUUGACUUGGCCAUUUCAUAACAUUCCACUUCUUUGCCCUACACCGUGCACCUGAUUUGGAUGUAAAUACCCUUAAAUUAAAGCUGAAUGUCUGCAGUCAAAGCACACCAUGUUUGUUUUGGUUCAAAUCCAUUGUGGUGGUGUUUACAGCCAGAGAGAUGAGAAUUGUGUUGACGUCCCAAUAUUUAUGGACCUGAUGGUAUAUAUAUACUUAUUGGGCAAUCACUUAAAUGUUACAUUUUUGCUCUGUAGUUUGUAAUUAUAUUUCACUGUUUUGUAUUUCACCUCAAUAACUUGCAUAAGAAAGUAAAAAGUGAAGAGGUCCUUCAUUCUGUUUGUGCAUUUUCUCUCCAUUUUAACAAACAUUUUUACAGGCCAAGGGAGCUGCAGUAACAUCCUUUUACUAAUCAAGUGCAACAAAUUGUAGACUUUGAUAAGAAAUGAGAAAACUAAUGAUCCGCAGUGAAAAGAUGUGAUUGCAGUAAACUAUAAGAUGCUGAUUUUUUGCAACUAAAUUUAUUUAUUUUUUGUCCCUCUUUUCCCUCCUGAACUCCUCGAUGCUAUCUCUACUGCUGGCCCUGUUCACUGUUGGCGACUCAGCUGUAAGUUCACAAAUAAAGUAACUUAAAAAUGUUUACACUGUUACUUUUUUAAACAUAUGUAAAAACCUGACAUUAUGUUCUUAUUUGACAAACUGCAACACAUUUUCAUUGUAACACAAACCAUUUUAAAUAACACUUAAUUAAUUUUGCCGGCUGAUUACAGUUGAAACUGCAAUGCAGUGAGAUGUGCUGGUUUUCUACAAUUAAACUAAAAAUCUCUUGUCUCUAUUUUUCCAUUUUCCUUUUUGCCAACUCUGUCCUGUCUCCAAGUGCAGACCGCUUUGUGGCGACUCGACGUAAGUUCACACAGGGAUGACACUUUCAUGAAUAAGACAGUGUGCCAUUAUUCAACACAUUAUGGACCCCUCAUCAUGUCCUAACUUAACAAUUUGUUUCCUUUGAUUAUGUAAUACUCACAGUUGGAAAUGAACAGCUUGAAUGUAAUAUGCAGUACACUUAUUUGCAUUUCAUUUCCAAUCCCUGGAAAGCAAUUUAUUACUAUUAAAUUGUGGAGUUGGAAUUUUUUAACGAUGAAAAUCCAAAUAAUUACUAAUUGAAUGUGAUUCCCUCCUAUGUGCAUCUCUCAUAUUAAAAAAACCAGCUAAUUUAAUGUUCUUUAAUAUGGAAUAGACAAUCAUUAUUUAUGCAGCCAUUGAUUUAUUUUAUUAUUCAUUUAAUCCUAUGUUUAGAUAUGUGUAUAUCCUUCUAAGGUACUUGCAUGCUUCUGUUUACAGCUCAUGGAGGUGCUUGGCCUCAUUACUACUUUUUACAUUGUUGGAAUACUUAAAACACAGUAAAGGAAAUUACUUUCUCCAAAAUACAUAAUAUUUUAUCAGCAGAGUAAUCCAUUGUUACUUUUGCUUAUCAGGACAUGGUUAUGAACAUUAUAAAGGGAACUUAAAGUAAAGAGUCUAAAAUACACAGGGAUAAUAGAACUUUUUGUAAAAUACUUUGAGGUCCUAAAUUUAAAAAGGUGGCUCUGUGGUUGGAUUCAAGUUGGACUCACUGUAGGAUGUGGUGGAGAGAUGUACUGUGAGGAAGGUGGAGGCUAUUCAAGAGAACAUGGAUCACCCACUUCACAACACCUUGGUGGACCAAAAGGCCUAUGGUGGUGGACGGCUCCUCUCUCUUCGCUGCAGGACAUAAAGAUUCAGAAGAUCUUUUGUACCCACAGCCAUCAGACUUAACAAUUCUUUUAAAAAUAGUAGAUGACUUUUUGAGUUAUGACAAAUGAGACUACAGACAAUCAAAUUUCCCUUCAGGGAAAAAAUAAAGUUCUCCUUACCUUAAAUACAUUUUUUAAUGGACUUGUAUGAGCACUUUGGAUUUUUAGUUCUUAUUAAUUUGAUUGAUGGGUUAUCAAACAGGGCAAUGGUCAAUUCCAGAAUUUGACUCAACUUGGCUUUUGAUAGAUGUAUAGUUAAGGAUAGCCAUAUGGUGGGUUAAGUAAAAGCACAUAAUAAAGACAUUAGCUUUGGGUGGAUGUCGGUUCAUUUUAUUUCUUUUAUAAAAAAUGAUUCAUGUUUGUUUUCAUUGUCUUACAGGUAUCGUGUCCAGUCUCCCCACUCCCCUAUCUUUUUGGCCGCUCUGACUUUCCUGUCUCCUCUACCGCUCUGUCUGAUUAAAAAGCCACUCUAUCUUGUGUCCCCCUUUUCUCUAUCCCUCUAACUAAGUUUUGGACGCUCUGACUUUCCUGUCUCCUCUACCGCUCUAUCUAAUUGAAAAGCCACUCUAUCUUGUGUCCCCCUUGUCUCUAUCCCUCUGGCUAAGUUUGGUUACUCUGACUUUCCUGUCUCAUCUACCACUCUGUCUAAUUGAAAAGCCUUUGAGAAACCUUUCUGGAACAAGCCUUUGAGAAACCUUUCUGGAACAAGCCUUUGAGAAACCUUUUUGGAACAAGCCUUUGAGAAACCAUCUGAAAUUGCCAUCCUUUGAGAAACCAUUUGAAAUUGCCAUCGUCAUAAACCUUUCUGGAACAAGCCUUUGAACCUUCUGAUAAACCUUUUGAAACACAAUUUUGGAGAAACCUUUUGAAAGCCUUUUGAUAAACUGAUUUUGAGAAAUCUUUUGAUAAAGCUUUUGAAACACAAUUUUUGAGAAACCUUUUAAUAAACCAUUUUUGAGAAAUCUUUUGAUAAACCAAUUUUGAGAAAUCUUUUGAUAAACCUUUUGAAACACAAUUUUUGAUAAACCAUUUUUGAGAAAUCUUGAUAAACAGUUUUUUUCAGAAACCUUUUGAUAAACCUUUUACAAUACCACUUUUGAGAAAACCUCUGAUAAACCUUUUUGUAAACCAUUUUUGAGAAUCCUUUUGAAACACCAUUUUUGAGAAACCUUUUGAAACAGUUGUACUUCUUAUACAACCACUACUUUGAAAAAUCCCUAAUUUUGCACAAGUCUGAUUGUUGUUUUAGGUCCUCCUUUCCUGUGUGUGGAUCCAGAGUUUCACCAGAAGUGUCAUCAGCACCACCACAUCUGCAUCCCUGAUUUUGAAAGAAAAAAAAAAUUCCAUAUAGAAUUUUUGAGUUAGAUAUUAUUUCAAGCACAAAGUUCUAAGAUUUAAAAAUUGUUGUUGAUUUGUGUUUUUUUCUGAAAACAUUUAUAUAGUCUUGUGUAGGAGUUUCUUAAAAAACAUUUGAUAAACUAUUGUGGUAUACACAUAGUUAUAAAUUAGAUUUUUUUGAGACUGUAAGAGCUGUUAAAUAACGUCCUCUUGAAGAAAUAAAGCAUUUUUGUCUUUA